UACGGAGGGGACUAGCGUUGUUCGGAAUUACUGGGCGUAAAGCGCACGUAGGCGGAUUUGUUAGUCAGGGGUGAAAUCCCGAGGCUCAACCUCGGAACUGCCUUUGAUACUGCAAAUCUCGAGUCCGGAAGAGGUGAGUGGAAUUCCUAGUGUAGAGGUGAAAUUCGUAGAUAUUAGGAAGAACACCAGUGGCGAAGGCGGCUGACUGGUCCGGUUCUGACGCUGAGGCGCGAAAGCGUGGGGAGCAAACAGG
rnacentral:rRNA from 1 species